UACAGAGGUCUCAAGCGUUGUUCGGAUUCAUUGGGCGUAAAGGGUGCGUAGGCGGUAUGGUAAGUCGGAUGUGAAAUCCCGGGGCUCAACCCCGGAACUGCAUUCGAUACUGCCGUGCUUGAAGACUGAAGAGGAGAUUGGAAUUCACGGUGUAGCAGUGAAAUGCGUAGAUAUCGUGAGGAAGACCAGUGGCGAAAGCGAAUCUCUGGGCAGAUCUUGACGCUGAUGCACGAAGGCCAGGGGAGCAAACGGG
rnacentral:rRNA from 1 species